UACGGAGGGAGCUAGCGUUGUUCGGAAUUACUGGGCGUAAAGCGCACGUAGGCGGCUUUGCAAGUCGGGUGUGAAAGCCCUCAGCUCAACUGAGGAAGUGCGCCCGAAACUGCAGAGCUUGAGUGCCGGAGAGGGUGGCGGAAUUCCCCAAGUAGAGGUGAAAAUUCGUAGAUAUGGGGAGGAACACCGGUGGCGAAGGCGACACGCUGGGCCGUACCUGACACUGAUGCGCGACAGCAUGGGGGAGCAAACAGG
rnacentral:rRNA from 1 species